CAGGGAAUCUUGCGCAAUGGGCGAAAGCCUGACGCAGCGACGCCGCGUGAGGGAUGAAGGCCUUAGGGUCGUAAACCUCUUUUUGUGGGGACGAGCAAGGACGGUACCCAUAGAAUAAGCCCCGGCUAACUACGUGCCAGCAGCCGCGGUAAUACGUAGGGGGCAAGCGUUAUCCGGAUUUAUUGGGCGUAAAGGGCUUGUAGGUGGCUAGUAAAGUCUCUUGUGAAAUCUCCCGGCUCAACCGGGAUGGGUCAAGGGAUACUCACUGGCUCGAGGGAAGCAGAGGAGAAUGGAAUUCCCGGUGUAGUGGUGAAAUGCGUAGAUAUCGGGAGGAACACCAGUGGCGAAAGCGAUUCUCUGGGCUUAACCUGACACUGAGGAGCGAAAGCGUGGGGAGCAAACCG
rnacentral:rRNA from 1 species